AUUGAACGCUGGCGGCAGGCCUAACACAUGCAAGUCGAACGAGUGGCGGACGGGUGAGUAAUGUCUGGGACACUGCCUGAUGGAGGGGGAUAACUACUGGAAACGGUAGCUAAUACCGCAUACCAUCAGAUGUGCCCAGAUGGGAUUAGCUGGUUGGUGGGGUAACGGCUCACCCAGGCGACGCUCCCUCGCUGGUCUGAGAGGAUGACCGGCCACACGGGAACGGAGACACGGGCCAGACUCCUACGGGAGGCAGCAGUGGGGAAUAUUGAACAAUGGGCGAAAGCCUGAUGCAGCAAUGCCGCGUGUAUGAAGAAGGCCUUCGGGUUGUAAAGUACUUUCAGCGGGGAGGCGUUAACCGAAGAAGAAGCAACGGCUAACUCCGUGCCAGCAGCCGCGGUAAUAC
rnacentral:rRNA from 1 species